GCCGGGAUGGCGAAAUCGGUAGACGCAAGGGACUUAAAAUCCCUCGCUCGUAAGAGCAUGCGGGUUCGACCCCCGCUCCCGGCA
rnacentral:tRNA from 1 species